AAUCAGACAAAGAUAAUGUAUCAGGACCCAAAUACUGACAACCUCCAUCACCGUGAAGACAAGAGACUUCAGUGGAUCGCCCAGGACCACGUUUUUGCAGGGAGGGAAUCCCAAGGAUUAUUACAGGACACGAUACGGAGCUACUUUUUGAUAUAGAAGGUGUCAGACCUCAGAGUAUUUUGCUGGAGUGUAACUUUAGUUGGUUUGAAUACAAUACGGCAUAGAAGAAAUGUUAUUAGAGUAAUGCACAGGCUGAAUCAACAUGUGGUUUCAGAUCAAUAACAGGCCAAUAACCGCAAACCUUUUCCUAUACAACCUUAUCACUGCAGAUUAAGAAAGAAAAGAGAUGGGAAACACGAGAGCAUCGUUCUGAAGAGUCACACCUACGAGUGAAAAGCAGCAUCAUUCCUAGCACCUGCUACGGAGCGGCAGCGCUGCCCUCCCCCUGCGCCGCACCCCAAUGAACCUUCGCCUAUCAGAAAUGAGCGGGAAGGAAUCAAAUGAAAAGUCUACAGAGGAUUUGUAAAGAAAACUCUGAAAUGGAAGAUUACAGUUAGUUUCUAAGGAGCAGCAAGGUCACAGGAGACAGGACAUCCUCUGUAAAAGGACUGUAGAACUAUACUCUUUGCACCGAAGUGUGGUUCAUCCAAGCGUUCCUUGAUGAAUCGGACGGCUUCCUCAUUGCUGAAAGCAUCCCACAGACCAUCCGACGCCAAGAUCAUGAACUCUGGCUGCAGUUUGUCCAGGUCAAAGACGAAGACGCGGAGGCAGAAGGCAAUGCAUCUCUGGAGGCAACGCUCUUCGAGAUCAGAGGGAAACCGGCCGGGACGGUCAACUGGCUGUUGAAGAUGAAGCUGCUCUUCUCACCCUGACACUGGCUCAUUAAGGGAUAGGUCAAUCUGCUUCCACUUCUCUGUCUGCACCAUCACAUCCCACUGAAAAGCGCUGUAUUAAUAAUGGAAGAUUUUAUCUGCUGAUGCCUCAGCCUAGUACUUUUCAGUCUCUCUCAGGGGAAAAGUCUAUAUUAUUGACAGAGUAGAGAAGAAAAAAGAUGAACCUUCAAUCCAAAGCAAAAAUGUUACGACUCACCAGCUC